GAGACAACAGCGCCCUCUGGUGUUUAAAGCCCAGAUCCACAAAAGGAGGGACAAGAGAAAAGGCUCUCAAGGCAGGACAAAGUCACUCCUCUACCCCAGGGUGCCAGACCAAGUGAAAGGGCUAGUCUGACAACGCACCCCUGUUCUGGAAAGCCAGGCUUUUCGGAGCCUGGAGAGACAGUGUCUCAGAUUUGACCAGCAUCAGGGCCUGUACUGGCCGGAGCCAGCCUAGAUGAAUGAGAGCAUAGUGCAUCUGGAGCAGGAAGGAGAUAGUCUUUUCCAGAAAGUUCGGCUACACUAAUCAUCCUUUCACGGAAAGGAGGGAACAGCAUCUCCAUAAACCACGCCCAAGGACUCUGGCCCUAGGAGAGCGUUUUUAGCGGGGCGUUUUCAAGGGGACAGCCAGGUGAGCACACGGAUAGCUGGAGACCCUGAAUUUCCUUCCUUGGACUGCUUCCUGGUCCUAAGGCAACCGCCAUACUGGCCCCUGUCACCGGCGAUGCUGAUAAUCCCAGAUUUUUCUGAAUAAGGACAGGACAGGCCUGCUGGAAAUUGAGCAGGAGACUGUGACUCCCUGGCUCGGUCAACAGCUUUUGUAGGUACAGCCUCUUUCUGAGGGCUUGUUCGGUGCCAGCUCCGAAAGUGACCAGAAGUAUCACUGUAGGACGAGACCAACCACUCUGCACCUCCGUAUCCACCUGCUCAGUGAGCAAAAGCAAUUCAUGGAAUGGUUCGGGGGAGAGAAUACACCAGGAGGGCCAGCACAGGGCAGCACCUGCACAAAGAAUUUGGCUGACAUCUAAGUGGAAUCAAGAGGCAGCUGGACUACAGGUAUCUCCAAGAGUUUGGAAUUUAAUCCUCCUGAGUACACUAUC
rnacentral:lncRNA from 1 species